UUUUUUUGUUACCACUUUGUUUGUUUUUUCUCUAAAUGAUUGUUUUCAUAUCCUAUGUCUAUUUGUUGCCUCUAGCCCUGCCAUGUUUGAGCGUUCUCGGAUUGGUGCACCUCCUUUCUAGUCUCUCUCACAACAGCCAAUAUAAAGUGUUUUGAUCAUGUUUAUUGGCAGGUGUGGGGGUUGGCCUCCUUUUUUGGAGUUGUUGUUUCCCUUUCGUUUGGAUCAACUUUUGUUCUACGGGUCUUUGAGGACUUAGGGAUUCGAUUUAGAGGAUGCCUGCUCUUACAAGUGCAAGGAAAAACAAAACAGUAUUCCCAAGGGUUUUAAGAACCAAGAGUAGCUGAGGUUCUAGUAUUGAAACACGUGCCUCUUUAUAGUUGUGCAUCACACUUUAACAACUUCUAU